CCUACGGGAGGCAGCAGUGGGGAAUAUUGCGCAAUGGGCGCAAGCCUGACCCAGCCAUGCCGCGUGAGUGAUGAAGGCCUUAGGGUUGUAAAGCUCUUUUACCCGGGAUGAUAAUGACAGUACCGGGAGAAUAAGCUCCGGCUAACUCCGUGCCAGCAGCCGCGGUAAU
rnacentral:rRNA from 1 species